UGGGGAAUAUUGCACAAUGGAGGGAACUCUGAUGCAGCGACGCCGCGUGAGGGAUGAAGGAAUUCGUUUCGUAAAACUCUGUUCUAUGGGAAGAAAAGGACUGUACCAUAGGAGAAAGCUCCGGCUAAAUACGUGCCAGCAGCCGCGGUAAUACGUAUGGAGCGAGCGUUGUCCGGAAUUAUUGGGCGUAAAGGGUGCGCAGGCGGCUUUACAAGUUGGAUGUGAAAUAUUGUGGCUCAACCACAAACGUGCAUCCAAAACUGCAAAGCUUGACUUAAGGAGAGGUAAGUGGAAUUCCUGGUGUUGCGGUGGAAUGCGUAGAUAUCAGGAGGAAUACCGGUGGCGAAGGCGACUUACUGGACUUAAACUGACGCUCAGGCACGAAAGCGUGGGGAGCAAACAGG
rnacentral:rRNA from 1 species